rnacentral:rRNA from 1 species
CCUACGGGGGGCUGCAGUGGGGAAUAUUGCACAAUGGGCGCAAGCCUGAUGCAGCCAUGCCGCGUGUGUGAAGAAGGCCUUCGGGUUGUAAAGCACUUUCAGCGGGGAGGAAGGCGUUAAGGUUAAUAACCUUGGCGAUUGACGUUACCCGCAGAAGAAGCACCGGCUAACUCCGUGCCAGCAGCCGCGGUAAUACGGUAGGGUGCAAGCGUUAAUCGGAAUUACUGGGCGUAAAGCGCACGCAGGCGGUCUGUCAAGUCGGAUGUGAAAUCCCCGGGCUCAACCUGGGAACGGCAUUCGAAACUGGCAGGCUAGAGUCUUGUAGAGGGGGGUAGAAUUCCAGGUGUAGCGGUGAAAUGCGUAGAGAUCUGGAGGAAUACCGGUGGCGAAGGCGGCCCCCUGGACAAAGACUGACGCUCAGGUGCGAAAGCGUGGGGAGCAAACAGGAUUAGAUACCCUAGUAGUC